UGGACAAUCUGGCCACCGGUGUUGUUCCAGGUUAUCAAAUGGAUGAUGAGACAGUUCGGACACCGGCACUGUUCCGGGUUGGCGGUUUGCUGUUUGUCAAAUAUGUUUUACAAGAAUUGGUGGACAGUUUCGACACCGGCAUUGUUCCGGGUUGGCGGUUGGCGGGUUAUCACGUGUGGAACAUCGUUCGAUUGCGUCUCGGACUCUUAAGCAGCACGUGAACGACGCAACGAUGACUUCCCAGAAGACGACCGCUCACUCCGGAUCGAUAUCACAGCUCUCUGAGCCGGACCGACCAUUAGCGCUCUGUAGAGGUGGACCAGGUGAAGAGCACGAGGCCAUACAGAAAAAAUCAGCACGUCGCAAAUCCCGACAACAUCCAACGAGUACUUCGGGAAGGUCAAAGCGGAGAACAACGAGAACCUCGCCCUGUAUGAAGCGCCGAGAACGACGUUUCUGAACACCGCCAGCUGGAUCGGACGCACGACGUGAGCAAGAGCGUUCAGACGCACACGGAGACACACCGGCUAUGCACCCUAGGACGACUCCGAUCUAGAUCGGACGCGCGAGAGUGGAGACGGCAGGAGAGACGAAUCGCACGCCAGAAAUCAACCUUAAAGGUCACCACCGCAAACACGGGUACAAGUGAAGCACGGCCCAUUAUCAAGGUCAAGCAGACAUGGAAACAAGAUGUAUGUUCGCUGAACCACGCGGAGUCUCACCGAUACCAAUAAAUUGCCCAACUCAGACAACAAGAGCGGUACUCGAAGCACACGGAUAACUACAGGAGUAACUGAAGCUAGAAAAAACGCCCCAUGGACCGAACGGGGUUUGGUGUUCCUGUCCCUGAGCGCGAGGACGGAUCAAUCGUGCACAGGUUGAGCUGAUUGGCUGGUGGAUUCGACU